GGCUAAUGAUGGCUAAUCACACCAAUAUCUCCUCGCUGUUUGAGAGAACUUGUCGCAGUACGAUAAACUGCGAAAACGUGAGGCUUUCCUGGAGCAGUUCCGUAAGGAAGACAUUUUAAGGACAACUUUGAUGAGCUGGAUAAUUCAAGGGAAAUUGUGCAGCAGUUAAUAGAUGAGUACCAUGCAGCUACUCGUCCAGACUACAUCUCUUGGGGAACCCAGGAUAAAUAAAAGGCCCUAUAAGGGUGAAGAGCUUGAGUACAAGGAGUGACAGUCCUGAGAGAGAACACAAUCCUUAACUCUAAAUACCACUGUCCUCCAAGUCAAAAGACAUUAAAACCUGGAAAGUAACAAGCAUUACCUUAAAGAGCAAGAGAAAUAUACAAAACAUGUAACAGUUCUGUUGUCGAGACCGUUGUUGCCUCCCAUUUUAUCUGUGCAGUUUCUGGAUGAUUUGUUAUUUGGGCCCUUUUCCACUUGUGUGUUUAUGUGCUACAUUUUAGCAAUGUAACAGUAGGAAUAUAUAGUUAAAUUAUAUUCAUCUUUCAUAUUGUUUAUUGGAGUAAAUUUCUUUCACUCACCGCUUACUA